rnacentral:lncRNA from 1 species
UUGUCCUGUUUAAACACAGCUUGCCUGUUGCUCCAUUUGUAAAGAGGGCAGAGGCAGCACACACAGGUGUGGCUCCACACAUCUUUUUAGAGAGAUUAAGCAGCCCCAGAGAUUGGGAUGUGUUGUGUCACACAGGAGACAAGCAAGCAGUGUUCUGAGUAGAGCACUGUACACUCUUGAGUAGGCGUAAUCAUCACCACCCUUCAAGGGCUGCCCGGUCCUCUUUGUUCUUUUUCCACCUGAGCUGCUGUUUCACCUGUUGCAGUUCACUCCUUUCACAACUUCCUGGGCUGCAAGUGGGCAGGUUUAAAGCGACCUCCCAAAACCUUGUCCACUCUGGGCUUUGACCGCUGUGACCAGAGACGAGGACGCCAGUUGUAAGAUUCCCAGCCUGUUAACAUUGCACAAGUAUGCUUGGAUCACGAGUGGGGAAACUUGUGCCAGGUCAUGGGCAUGCUACUGGAGAUUGCUGUGCUCAGCAGACUGGAUACAUUUUCCUAGCAGAGAAGGGUACAGACCUUGGGUGUUACUGCUAUUCAGCACUAAGCCAGUGCAAUGUUGUUUUGGAAAAAUGAUUACUUAUCUGUCUCUAGUAUUGACAGUCGGGCAUGUUAUUUGCAGUCAUGAAACUUGUAAUUGAUAAUUGUGGAUGACGGUAGAAGAUUUCCCAUCCAGGGUGUGCCCGUUGCUUGCCAGGAUAGGCUCCGGCUCCUCAGCAACCUGGAUGAAGUGGUGAAGAGGUGUUGGGCUUCCAAUGUCCAGCUCAGAUUUUUAAUCUGCACAUUUUGUUUCCCCCCUCUUACUGAUGUGUUUGGUGUGGUAUCAUGGGUUCUGAACCCCCGCCAGUGACGCGUGGCCUUUGCUAAUUGUAGUUAACUGAGUAUUUGAGCAAUAGGCUAAUUUAACCUUAAUCUGCUGUUUUUGUUAGAUACGUAAAUAAAUGUGAACAAUGGAAUUAAACAUGCUGUACUGGAACAAAAUGACACUGGCACCUAUCCCUGUCCCUUCUCUCUCCAGUGUUGAUACAUAGCUCUUAAGCUUAUCAGCUUUUCACAGUACAGCUUGUUAUUCAUUGCUCAUAUGUUCUCUUCAUUCAGCAGCUGAGAUACAGUAACCAAAGCCUUGUCUGAUCUACUGUGUAAUAUUUGAUAAAUGUAUUCUCUGUCCUAAAUAAAAGGCUUCUAUGA